ensembl:lncRNA
GUCGUGGCGUAUUUGCCCUGGAAUCUCUCAAUAAAGGAGAGUUUGUGGCUGAAUACAGGGGGGGAACUAAUAGAUUUUCUGGAAUCUGAGAGGAGGAGGAAGGUCUCCCAAAAAACGGUGUAUUUCUUUUUCUUUAUGUGGCAGAAUAAACAGUGGUGGUACGUUUUUAAAACCGCCAUUGCUUGUAUUUUGUGAAAACAUAUAUUUUAGUAUAAAAUUUAGCUGUAAGUGAAACUACUUUAUGCCUUGCCCACACAACAGGAUAAUCUGACUGAUCUUGAUCUAAUAGUGUAGGUUGUAGUUUGGACAGUUUAUUACCCUUAGUUGUUUGUUCUGCAUUUUUAAGCAUUGAUGCUUCUAAAGAAGACGGAUCUCUUGGGCGACUGGUAAAUGACGAAGAAAAAAAGCCCAACUGUAAAAUGAAGAAAAUUAUUGUACAGAAUAAACCUCAUCUCUGCCUAUUUGCAUUACGAGACAGCGCCUGGAGAUGAAAUAACGUUUGACUAUGGUGGAAGUGACUGGCCUUGGAGAGGAAAGGUUAGUAAAAGAAUAUUUGCUACUAGCUACUGGUUUUACUUACUUAACAUUGUGAUUGCUACUGAUUUUAAAUAUCAGCUUUUGUAAAUGAAAAAGAAUUCAGUGAUCUUAUCAGGAAAAGUUUAAACAUGUUGAAUGGAUAUUCUAUGUGUAUAUUGAAGUUAGGAGAGGCUGAGCUGAUUUUUCUAUAUUGAUAAAAAAAAAAACCCUCACAGGAAUGUUUAACUUGAUUGUUAAUUUUAAUUAUCUACACAAUUAAUUAUAAUACUAAGUUUGCAUUUUUUGCUAUUUAGUAAGACAGGUGAGUUUUGGUGAGUAUGUAUGUAUUAAGAACAGAAGUGUGAGACUUAUUGGAAUGUUUGCAUGUGAUGUUUGAAAUUCCUGUAGCCUGAUUCAGAGAUUAUCUCCAGUACUAUGAGUGCGGUUGGACCAUCCCAAUUGAUUUCGGGAGCUGAGAAGUAUGCCGAAGCUUCUUCCACUUUUGCCUCUCAGCCUGCUUACGGGAUCCUCUCUAACACGAUGGAUGCGGUUGAACCAUCCGACUUAACUUCAAAAGCUGAGAAGACAACCAAAGCUUCUUCUACUUUUAAGGAUGGUAACGGUUACACACAUACUUGUUUCUGUGCAUUGUGGGGUCACCUGGUGGAAUUGUUACAUUGUGGGGGCCACCCUUUCCCAAGGUCCUACAGACUUGAAAAAAAUCAUGCUUUAUCAAAAUGCACCUGUGAAUCGUAAGAUCACUUCAAAAAUCAAUUAUCUCACAAAAAGGGAUUCUGACCUGAACAGGUGGUGAGUUGUGGGGACACCAAGGACAUUUCAGGUAUUUAGCAAAUGUGAGGACCGUCAUUACACAAAUUGCUUGUUUUCAUUAUUUGUGGGGUCCAGUUUCUCCACUUUCAUAUUAAGACAGAACAAUGUUUUUCUUGUUAAAAGAGCAAGAAUUACUUAUCCAUAUAAACACAUUUCUGUAAAGACUAGUUUAUUUGUAAAAUAAAGCUAAGGGAUAUACAAAAUAAUGGUAAGAA